rnacentral:rRNA from 1 species
AUAAACGCUGGCGGCGUGCAUGAGACAUGCAAGUCGAACGGGUGGCUCGGGCUUGCUCGAGCCGCUAGUGGCGGACGGCUGAGUAACGCGUUGGUGACCUGCCCCGACGUGGGGAAUAACUGCCCGAAAGGGUGGCUAAUACCGCAUGUGGUCGUACGUUCGAUCGUACGAGUAAAGCCGUAAGGCGCUUCGGGAGGGGCCUGCGUCCGAUUAGCUCGUUGGUGGGGUAACGGCUCACCAAGGCGACGAUCGGUAGGUGGUCUGAGAGGACGAUCACCCAGACUGGGACUGAGACACGGCCCAGACUCCUACGGGAGGCAGCAGUCGGGAAUUUUGCUCAAUGGGCGAAAGCCUGAAGCAGCAACGCCGCGUGAGGGAUGACGGCCUUCGGGUUGUAAACCUCUUUUGUCAGGGACGAUGAUGACGGUACCUGGCGAAGAAGCCACGGCUAACUACGU